rnacentral:tRNA from 1 species
GAGGGUAUAGCUCAGUGGUAGAGUGCGUGCUUUGCAUGUACAAGGUCCUGAGUUCAAUCCCCAGUACCUCUU